UUUUUGUUCGUGUCACGCCCUUCUGGCGGAGUAGCUCAGCAGGUUAGAGCAGCGGAAUCAUAAUCCGCGUGUCGGGG
rnacentral:tRNA from 1 species